AGAGAAUCACAUUACUGUGCCACCUCCUCCCCGCCCACGCAUGCGUUAAUGAACAAAACUCCACACUAACAGGAUGAAUGUUCUAUAGGACACCAAAACUCAAAAUUUGGUGCUCUCAGUAAAGAUACUCCGGGGGAAGAGGCAGCGGAUGGGUUUCACUGCAAGUGGAAAUGAAUCGAACUGGAAACUAUUCUGCCAGCUUAAGACUGGAGAUGAGCCCUGUGGGGCUGGAAGCCGAGACCGGCAGGUGACCGAGGGCCUGCAGGGAAGAGACGAAGGAGGAGGCACCCAGAGGCUGAGAAAGGUCUGUGCCGCAGGGGAGAAGACUGCCAGAGCCCGUGGCCACCUCUACCGCUGAGGUGGUGGAUGGGACCGCUCCGCCCAGUCCCCAGGAUGGGUUUCAGCCCCAGGCGUCUGGGAGAACUGAGGAGGGGAUGCGGGUCCUCGCUGGUCGAGCAAAAGUGAGGGUAAGGGAGGGUUCCCCGUCGCCUUCAGAACGGAAUGGUGCUGUCCCCGCCGCCAUCCCGACGCCGGAGGAGAGCGAACAGGUUACCUGUCUCAGCCGCGUCCCACGGGUCACCACUUCCGCAGACUCGGGGUUACUACGGGCUACCCCGGCACGCGCCGGGUGACGUCAUCGACACGCGCCCGAGGCCGCAUUCGGCCGGGCCCGCCUUCCGCUAAGCCCGCCCCCUUCGGAUGAGAGGGCGGGACCGCCCGAGGGAGAUCUGCGCAGGCGCGGGGCUGCCGCCGCUGUAGGAGGGCGCGAGCAGCCUGGCUUGCCGGGGCCUGUGGAGUUGCCGCGGAACCGUACUAUUCCUGUUUGCAAAAUCUUUAUGACACUUAAGAAAAAAAUCACCAGCCUGGGCAAGCUGGGGAGGCCCCGUCUCUACAAAAAAAUUAAAAAAUUAGCCGAGUGUGGUGGCGCGCGGCCGUGGUCCCAGCUACUCUGGAGGCUGAGGCAGGAUUGCUUAGGCCCAGUAGUUCGAGGCCGCAGUGAGCUAUGAACGUGCCACUGCACUCCAGCCUGGGCCACAGAGCAAGACCCCGUUUCAAAUAAAAUAAAAGAAGUUACCGAAAUACAGAUGUGCAAUUUUUAUUCCUUAGCCUAGUCUCAUCUCUGCUGCAUGUGACUGUUGUUCACAUAUUAAUUCCACCACAAUUUAAGUUCCUCGUGUGUGCCAGGGAAGCACCCUUAACAGAAGCUGGGGAAACAACCAGGAACAAGACAGAUGCUGUGCCUGCCCUCAUGGGGAUUACUUUCUAGUUGAGAAAGGAGAUAUUAAAUGGAGAAGGAAAAUAAGCUGCUGAGAAAUUAAAGGAAGACAGGUGACCUUUUGAUUUGAGAUGUCAAGAAAGUGCCCUCUGAAGAGGUUCAGUAAACUGAGAAGAUGCCAGCUCUGGAGAUACAAGGAAAGAACAGCCAACAGAAGGAUCUACAUGUGAACAAGCAACAAGGAAGGAGCAGAAUGUGGUGCCUUGAAGAAAGUGAGAAAGUGGGUCGUGGGAAGCACGGAGGAUGAGAUCAACGAGGCCAGGAGAGUCCCCAUCAUGCACAGACUCUCUGGGACCCUGUGAGGGAUACGGAGUUUAUUCCAAGUGUAAUGGGAAACUAGUGAAGAGUUUUCAACAUGUGAGUGACAGGACCUCGUUUCGUAACAUCAUCACCCUGCUUGCUGCUGUGUAUACAUGGAACUUUUGAGAAACAAUUUAAAAGGAUGCAAAGAGAAGAGUUGCUUUUGCAAUGAGCAGUUCCUGCUUCACAGGUUCUCUUCCCUGCUGAGUUGUGAAGAAGGCGCCUGCUUCCUCUUACACCGUGAUUGUUAAGUGUCCUGAGGCCUCCCCAACCUUGCAGAACUGAGCAUGAAAAUACCCCAUCCAGCAGAUGAAACACAUUCUCAUGCUCAUCCUGCAGAAUUUCUGGGUGACUGGUGGCAUCUCCUGCGGCGAUACAAGGAUGCGGGUUGAUGGAGAGGACAGCGAUACAUCUCAGCAGCUUGACAGCAUCACUGCCUCCUUCCCUCUCCCACAUCCCUGGAAAAGCUUAAAGUCUGCAGAUUACCAGAUGGGACCCCAGGGCUCAGAGGCUACCUAGACGCCUGCAGACAACAGACCAGAGGGGUCCAACAGACCAGAGGGGUCCGACAGACCGGAGGGGUCCGACAGACCGGAGGGGUCCAACAGACCAGAGGGGUCUGGCUAAAUGGUUUUCACCUGAGAAGGCAACGGGCUACUCCACUGUAAGAAAACCAUCUGUAUGAAAGAAUCUUGGUGAGUGGACUGUAAUCUAACUCUUUAAAUCCCAGGGCUCGUGGAAACAAAUGAGGUAAACUUGUUUGACUAAUAUAUCUCUAUUGUGAAAGCACACUGGAGCUUGCUUAAUCGUAAGCAGCUAUCAAGUGGCCAUAUAAUACAGCCCCGUGAGUCAAGAGCUGCCUGUGGCCAAACAGGCCUGCCAAGAAGCUGUGUACUUUGGUGGUCCCAACUCCCCGUUCUAUGUGGAGCCUCCAGGUGACCGGCCAAUCAAGAGGCCCGUAGACCAGGUCGCCCGCGGAGCAGCUAUGCAGAGCCGUCAUGCCAUCAUUUCCUGCAUGGCUUCCCACCUGCCUUCCCUCUGGCUUCACAGAGUCUGUUUACAAGGAGAAGUGGAUGCCCGUAUUCUGCUUGGCCUGCAGGCAGCCCAGGACACCAGCGUGGCUCCCUAGCGGCCCUUCUCGACCAGCGUGGCUCCCUAGCAGCCCUUCUCGAGGGGGAGCUGCUGGCAUUUGGUCAGGACAUGUCUUCACCGUGCGGGUCUCUUCCAUGUGCUGCAGAGCAGUGCUGUUGCUGGCGAAUGCUCUUUCCUGAGGACCAACGGGUCAGCCAGAAACACCUUCACACGUUUCAGAUGCCCUCAGGGGGGUAUCAGACCCUGGCUGAGAACUUCGUGUUUACUGCAUUCCUGGAUACAGGGGCUCGAGCCCAGUUAAUGUUUAACUCACAGAGAAGCUGGAGCCCUGGUGAGAGGCAUCUCUGUUUGGGCACUGAUGCAGAAUGGAAUGUUGGCGCAGGUCCUCUGGUUGAGCCACCUGUCCUGCUUUGGCUUGAGGCCCACACACAAUUCCCUUCACUUUAUCCAUUGGUUCGGCAUCCAGCGUCCACAGGUGUGGUUCUGGGGUGGGGCUGAGCUCACUGUGUGUUCCCUGGAGGUCCAGGGCCAUGUUUUGUUCCUCUGCAGUUCCUCCAGGACCAAGGAUCCGGAGCUCCCUUUGCCCUCGGAACAGAAGGUUAGCCACCAACUCUACCUCCGCCCUAUGCCCUGGGGAGUGGAGCCUCCUGCUCUAGGUUGGUCACACAAUAAUGAACCGAGUAAGGACUUGAGCCCAGCUCUCUUCAACUCAAAUUCUGCUCUCAAUCUACUACACCACAGGGUGGGACAACACAGAGCGAGACUCCAUCUCAAAAUAAUAAUAAUAAUAAUAAUUGUAUUAGAUUAUCUCCCCACCUGACCCCCCUCAGCCUCAUGACAGCUUGGUGACCGGCUCCUACAUUGAGCUGGUUGACAUUAAGAAAAUCCCUCAAAAAUGGCAGGAGAACAUCAAUGUAAAAAUUUAGCAAUUUGCUGAACUGUUUAUAUUUUUGCCUUGGAGUUCUUAGGGCCACACAUAAUUCAUUCAUCCAUCAUCAGACAUGAGGACACCGAAGUAGGGGAAAGAAGAAUUCCUUCUCUGGAGGAACUUACUGACAAGGAAAUCGACGUGUUCCACGCAGCAGAGGCAGGAGCAGGGUGGAGGUACGUGACCUCACUGGAAAGAAGAAGGUGAAGCCCAGUCGAGGACUCCAGGGAUGAGCUCAGCUGCAGCUUUUGCAGAUUCAAUAUUUGGGCUUUCAGCUAUUUGAGAAGCCUCGCCUCUUCACAGAAGAGAAUCCCGUUCCCGAAGCCUGGUCUGCAGGAGGGAGUCCCUGGGCUCUGUUGCUCAGCAGCCAGAGUGCAACGGUUUUGUUGUUCUCUGCUGUGGUACAUGAUGAAAAAUUUACACCUGGGAAGGUCUUUGGACCUAUCUACGCAAAGGGCAAAGGUUUAAGCCGUUGCCAUGACAUCUUACCCAGAGCGGCCUGACUUCCCGAGACGUUGCUCUUCUGGGAAGAAAUGCAGUGAUACCCAGGUCGGAACUGGAGCGCGCCACAGAGGACGUGUAACUGCUUCUUUGGUUGAGGACGGGAGGUGUUUGUAGUUCUGGUUAUAAUUGGAGCAAAAAUAUUCUACAUGAGCCCUAAUUAAAAUGAGGAGGAAAUGCACUUGAAGUUCUCUUUAAUAUGUGUGCUUAUGAAUCAAGUGUAUGGGAUGGGAAAUCAAGCCACUUGUUAACUCAAAAGAUCAUCCACAAAUAGACCCCAGGGUGGCUGUUGCAUGAAAUUGAAUUACGUGUCUAGAUCCAUCACAGCCACCUUCUCCUUUCUGUGAGUGGCUUCAGUAUGCCCUGAAGUAUGCCCCGAAGGUAAAUCUGUGGAAAAUUAGCAUCAAAUCUUCUAUUUCUGGUAAGACUAAGUGGGAUUUGAGGUGGUGUAUUUGCUUUUUUUUUUUUGUACUUUUAUGUAUGACCUGAUUUUUAAAAUUAUGACUAUGUAUUAAAUUCCAAAACCAAGUGUGCACAUUUAGAAUUAAAUAACCCGUAACAAGGGAAAACUGUCAAUAAUGAUAUGAGAACACAAAAGAGGAGAAAAUGGCGAAGAUUCAACUUGGUUGUACGUAAAAGCCAUUGCCAUCUCGGUCACUGGAGAAAUCACCAACCUUUAAGACUAUUCUCACCCUAGGAUAUUGUUAGGAGUGUCACAUAUAUGCAUCAGAUUCAUUCUGAGUCAUGUUUUAUUCAAUUCCUUGCUUAUACUUAUUUUGUGCUGCAUUCACUCUUGCCUGAAGAAGCAAUAUUGCAUGCUUAGGAUUUAAAAAAAACUUUUUUCAGGAGAUGCUGAGUGUUGCUACAAAGAGGAACUGCCUUUGGUUCUUCACUCUGUGAAGAGGUUUAUUAUUUUAUAAUUGCAUAACGAGUUCUUGGAACAUCGUCUUUAAAAGGAUAGAUGUUGUAUUGUAAUAAAACAAUGUUAUUAAAAUUUGAUAACCUGGAAACAA